UAGGUAUCAGACACUGGGUGACGACAUUAUUGGUGGGCGUCGUCACACCGGAGCCGGGAGCCACAGCAUCUACACAUGGUGUUGGGAAGCUUUAUAAGACCCUCCAAGAAGUUGUGGAAAAUGGUGACUUAUCUUUUUGGAUGGUGCCAGGAUGGUACUUUGCAGCCGAAAUGACACAACCAACAGCUUGGGUGAUUUGCUGAAGGUUACAGCACAAGCAAAUGGCUAAUUACAAUACUUGAGCUCCUUCUCCUCCGCCCUGAUAACGGGGUCCGCAGCGGCCCAGAAACGUUAACGUCAGCAUUUAUGAGGACUAACUAAAGACUAAUCAGACUCAAGGCCCCAGCACUACUAGGAAGCAAUGCUUUACAUUGUAAGAUUUUAAGACCACAGCAUCAGAAAAACUCUGGACAUUCGACAUAACCUGAGGGCAACUCAGAUGGCCAAUGUCUUCUUAGAUGAUCGGAUGUUGGAUCCGCAUUCUUAAAAACUAUGCUGUUCACACAUAGCAACUGUGUAUGCACAGAGGAUUUAUUUGAUAUUUAAGUGAGUGACAGGUAAUCAGUG